UACGUAGGGGGCAAGCGUUGUCCGGAAUCAUUGGGCAUAAAGCGCGUGUAGGCGGCUCGAUAAGUCUGCUGUGAAAGUUCAGGGCUCAACCCUGAAAUGCCGGUGGAAACUGUCGGGCUAGAGUCCGGAAGAGGCGAGUGGAAUUCCUGGUGUAGCGGUGAAAUGCGCAGAUAUCAGGAGGAACACCAAUGGCGAAGGCAGCUCGCUGGGACGGUACUGACGCUGAGACGCGAAAGCGUGGGGAGCAAACAGG
rnacentral:rRNA from 1 species